rnacentral:rRNA from 1 species
AUGAGAUUGACAUCAGCCCCAUUGCUUUCACUUCCUGAUUUUGGUAAGACAUUUGAGAUUGAAUGUGAUGCAAGUGGUGUUGGCAUUGGUGGAGUUCUAAUGCAAGAAGGUAAACCUAUUGCCUACUUUAGUGAGAAGCUUAAUGGUCCAACUCUUAAUUAUUCCGUCUAUGAUAAAGAAUUGUAUGCACUUGUUCAAUCUUUGAAAACAUGGCAACAUUACUUGUGGCCAAAAGAAUUUGUAAUACAUUCUGACCAUGAAUCUUUAAAACAUCUAAAGGGCCAACUCAAACUGAACCGUAGACAUGCAAAAUGGAGUGAGUUCAUAGAGUCCUUUCCUUAUAUUGUCAAAUACAAGAAAUGGAAGGAUAACGUUGUUGCCGACGCAUUGUCUAGGCGUCACAUUUUACUUUCCCAACUUGGUGUUAAAAUCCUUGGUUUAGAAAGCAUCAAAGAAUUGUAUGCUAACGACUCAUACUUUGCUGAACCAUUUUCAAAGUGUAACAAGGGAAUGGGGUGGGAUAAGCUUCAUUUGCAUGAUGGAUUUCUAUUUCGAGCUAACAAAUUGUGCAUCCCAGAUUGCUCUGUUCGUUUGUUGCUAUUGCAGGAGGCUCAAGCUGGUGGUCUCAUCAGACAUUUUGGAGCCAAGAAAACUGAAAGUGUGCUCGUUGAUCACUUCCUUUGGCCGCGAAUGAGACGUGACGUGGAACGCUACGUGAUGAGAUGCGAGAUUUGUCACAAAGCUAAGUCCCGCUUGAAUCCUCAUGGUUUAUAUACUCCUCUAUCUAUUCCAAAUACUCCGUGGGAAGAUAUUUCUAUGGAUUUUGUUCUUGGUUUACCACAGACUAAGAGGGGGAGUGACUCGGUGUUUGUGGUAGUUGAUCGUUUUAUAAUAAUGGCACAUUUUAUCCCAUGUCAUAAGAGCAAUGAUGUUUCACACAUUGUUGAUCUAUUUUUCAGGGAAAUUGUGCGGCUACAUGGAGUACCACGCAUGACUGUGUCAGACCGUGACACCAAAUUUCCGAGCUACUUUUGGAAGACCUUGUGGGGAAAACUUGGCACCAAGCUCCUAUUUUCCAUGACAUGCCACCCACAAACUGACGGACAGACUGAAGUUGUCAACCAAACAAAGUCCAUGAUGCUACGAGCAGUCCUCAAGAAGAAUUUCAAGAUGUGGGAAGAGUGUCUACCUCAUGUGGAGUUCGCGUAUAACUGGGCGGUACAUUAG